CCUACGGGUGGCAGCAGUAGGGAAUUUUCGUCAAUGGGCGCAAGCCUGAACGAGCAAUGCCGCGUGAACGAGGAAGGUCUUCGGAUCGUAAAGUUCUGUUUAAGGGGAAAAAGAGCGGAGAGAGGAUAUGCUUUCUGAUUGAUAUUACCCUUCGAGGACGUCUCGGUUAACUACGUGCCAGCAGCCGCGGUAAUACGUAGGGGGCGAGCGUUAUCCGGAUUGAUUGGGCGUAAAGGGUGCGUAGGCGGCCUGCUAAGUCUGGAGUGAAAGGUACCGGCCCAACCGGUACAGGCUCGGGAAACUGGCGGGCUAGAGGGCAGAAGAGAGCAGUGGGACUCCAUGUGUAGCGGUAAAAUGCGUAGAUAUAUGG
rnacentral:rRNA from 1 species